rfam:Firmicutes bacterium CAG:882 genomic scaffold, scf316
GGCGACUUAGCCAAGUGGUAAGGCGUGGGACUGCAACUCCCUGAUCGUUGGUUCGAGUCCGACAGUCGCCU